GAUGAACGCUGGCGGCGUGCUUAACACAUGCAAGUCGAACGGAAAGGCUCCUGCUUGCAGGGGUACUCGAGUGGCGAACGGGUGAGUAACACGUGGGUGUUCUGCCCUGCACUUCGGGAUAAGCCUGGGAAACUGGGUCUAAUACCGGAUAGGACCACAUUUUGGAUGGUGUGGUGGAAAGUUUUUCGGUGUGGGAUGAGCUCGCGGCCUAUCAGCUUGUUGGUGGGGUAAUGGCCUACCAAGGCGUCGACGGGUAGCCGGCCUGAGAGGGUGUACGGCCACAUUGGGACCGAGAUACGGCACAGACUCCUACGGGAGGCAGCAGUGGGGAAUAUUGCACAAUGGGCGCAAGCCUGAUGCAGCGACGCCGCGUGGGGGAUGACGGCCUUCGGGUUGUAAACUCCUUUCGCUAGGGACGAAGCGCAAGUGACGGUACCUGGAGAAGAAGCACCGGCUAACUACGUG
rnacentral:rRNA from 1 species